rnacentral:tRNA from 3 species
GCGUCCGUAGCUCAAUUGGAUAGAGCAUUAGUCUUCGGAACUAAGGGUUAGGGGUUCAAGUCCCUUCGGGCGCA